GCAUCGGUGGUUCAGUGGUAGAAUGCUUGCCUGCUACGCGGGCGGCCCGGGUUCGAUUCCUGGACGAUGCA
rnacentral:tRNA from 1 species